AAACGUAAUACCACUUAUUGCUGUAUGUUGUGCACACAAACGCAUGCAGACAUUAAUGAAUUGUUUUUAAUCCAAACUCGGUACUAACAAUGUGGUAUUUUCUUGUUGUUUCUUGAAGAGACAUCUGUAUGGGCAACCUCUCCAAUUACAGGGAAACAUAAAUGGGUGCAUGGGGAUGUAAGGUUUGUGCAAUUAAAGUAUCAAGUAGGUAUGAAUUGCUAAAACAUUGCAAGCGAAAACAUGGUCAUCAUGGACACAGGUUCAGACAUUUCUGUCCAUAUGCUGAUUGUGCAUGCACAUUUAGACUUUGGAACAGUCUUUUAAGCCAUAUAUACCGUGCUCUCAAAACACAAACCUCUUCAGAGCGAUCUGAAUUAUCUACAUUUACAUGUCAGUUGUGUACAUGUCCUAAAUUUGCAAAUGAACGAGAUUACUUCAGUCAUGUAAAUGAACAUUUCCGAAGACAUGAAACUGUAACAUCCGUGUUCAAAAAUUGUGCCUUUAAAACUAGCAUUUACAACACAUUUCAAACUCAUAAAAACAGAAAACAUAAUCCCCAUACUAUAGAAGAUUUUAAAGCUGAGGUUGUUACUGUUGUUGCUAGAUUACAGGAAUUGGAGACUUCAGCUAUUGAUGAUGUUUCUUGUGCAGCAGACACAGAUGUAGAAUCUGAAACAGAUGUAGAUGCACGUGUCCAAUAUUGAAGAGCUUCCCUAAGUUAUCGAGCAGAAUAUUGCCUCAAUUUUAUUUAAGUUAGAGCACGUUUUUUUCGUACCAGCAACAGCUAUUUCUGAAUUACUUCAGGAAUUACAUUAUCUGUUAAGCUCAGCAUCUGUUCCAAUCACAUUUAGUAGCCUGUCUGACAUCCUUAAUAAAUGUUCUGUUGAAGUGAACAAGUCAGUUGUUGAGGAGCUUGCUGAAGCUGUGUGCAAGUCCAGUCCUUUAGCUAAAGCCUUUGCCAAAGAUGGCCCCCUAGCUUCAACCUACAAAAGGAAACAGUAUUAAAAAAAACAUUUCAGUGUGGUAAACCCGGUUGAGUACAUCCUUGACCCUAAGAAAAAUACAACAUUCCACUAUCUUCCCAUUUUGCAGUCUCUUCAGCAUUUGUUAAGUAACCGUGACAUUUUAGAAAGUGUUCUCCAAACACAUGAGACACAGGACCCUACCUUGCGUGUAGGGCAUUAUAAAUCGAUAAGGGACGGAAGUUACUUUAAAGAAAACUGUUUUUCACUGGGGAUGAUUUGAAAUGAUCAGUGUCCUUAUAUGUGGAUGAUUUUGAGAUCUGCAAUCCAUUGGGGACAUCCAGAAAAAUUCAUAAAAUUUGUAGUGUGUACUGGAUUUUAAACCACCUGGAUCUCAUUCAUCCCUUUCUUCAGUCUAUUUGGCCAUAUUAUGUAAGAGUAAUGAUGUUAAAGUGUAUGGCUUUGAGAAAAUUUUAGAGCCCCUUUUACAGGAUUUGAUCAUUUUAGAGAAACAUGGUGUUUUCAUUGCAGGUCUUGGGCAAUUGGUGAAAUGCACAGUCUAGUCAGUCUUUGCAGGCAAUUUAGGAGCCCAUGGGAUUGCGGGUUUCAUUGAAAGCUUUUCUGGUGUGCAGUGGCAGCUGGUGCUGAAAUUUGUUGGGUGGGCUAACAAAUGCAUAAUACCGAUUAAAUAGUUAACACAGCUGCAAAAGCAACAUCACCUAUGAUACACACAGUUACAUCAAUUACAGGUACACUAUACUUUUUUCGUGCUCUACAUCCUCCCUCUCUCUCUCUCUCUCUCUCUCUCUCUCUCUCUCUCUCUCUCUCUCUCUCUCUCACUCACACACACACACACACACACACACACACACACACACACACACACACACACACACACACACACACACACACACACACACAUACAUCUCACACACACACACACAUACACAGAUUGUCUCAUCAGCUAGCACAGCCACAAAUCCACAAUUCGGUAUCUCUGCUAUACUUGCCGUUAGCCAGUCCUUUCUGUCAAACCAAGAAACGCAAAACUUACGAUUUUGUCAUUUGUCCCGUUGAGUUAUAUGAACAUCGUUUGGCCGACGUGAUCCCAGUCUCUUAACUUCCAGCUUUUCCACCAAAGACAUUGAGGAAAAUGGACAAGAAAGCAAAAAAUAAUCCACCUCGUCAUAGCUUAACUUUGUCUCCCUCCUUCCUAACUCUGCCACAAAUGGCAGAACCGCUGUGUUAACUCGCUGCUUUUGGUCUAAAAUCAGUGGCCUGUGGGCUGAGUGAAGUUAGCCCAAAUGAUCAGUAAAUUACGGGGGCGGGACAUGACAACUGUCAGUCACUUACAAGAACGAAAUGAAAGCGGAUUGUAUCUGCUGGGGCUGUAAAAAAAAAAAAGGCCCAUUGAGAGAUAUUCUAUGUUUUUCUUUUGACUGAUUGGUGCUGUUGCUAUCUUUGGUUUCACCUAAACUUAAAACAAUCUGUUGUAAGUUAUUUAAAAAAUAAUUUUCUCAUCUUUUUUGUGUUUGCUUGGGAGGGCUUAGCCCUGUUAGCCCAUUUAUACCAGCCGUCCCUGCUGGUGUGCAUUUCUGCAGGUUCUGUACAGGUGAGAGAAUAGACAUUCAGGAUAAGACAGUUCAGUCUGGACAUUUUAAUAUUAGAACGAAAGAGCUUCAUGAAACCCAUGUUAAAUUUGCAAGGGAGAAUACAACAAUCUGUUGUGGAGUGAAGAGAGAGUGUUUUUUCACAAAGAACUUCGUAUUUUCACGUUACCCAAGGCUACCCUCCGGACAUAGUCCAUGACUUAUUUGAGGGUAUUGUCCCAGUUGAAACUGCUCUCUGCAUCAGCGAAAUAAUUUCAAAAAAAUAUCUGUCUCUUGAAGAACUUAACAAAUUAAUCCUGAACUUUCCAUACCAGUGGGGAGAUAGAACAAAUAAACUUCAUAUCAUACCACGCACUUACGCCUCCAAAAGGACGAUUGGAGGUAACGUCCAUGAAAAUUGGGGUUUAUUGAGAUUGCUCCCAUUUAUAAUAGGACACUUGAUUCCAGAGGGAGAACCUGCUUGGCUUGUGUUGCUUGAUUUAAAAGAAAUAGUUGAGCUUGCUGUUGCUCCUAUUCAUAAUCACGAAACCAUUGCCUACUUGGACUGCAAAAUCUCAGAACACAGACACAGAUUCUUGGAACUUUUUUCUGCGCGACUCUUACCUAAGCAUCACUUCCUCGAACACUAUCCCCAAUUGAUAGAAUAUUUUGGGCCUCUGGUAGGCCAGUGGACUAUGAGGUUCAAGGGGAAGCAUAGCUUUUUUGAGAAAGCUGUACGUCAGAUUAAUUGUUUCAAAAAUAUCACACUAACAUUAGCAACUAAACUUCAGCAAAUGAUUGCUUAUCAUAUCAAUGCAUUACAUCUUAAAACUGAUUUGGAAGUUCAUCAUGUUUCUGUGCUUCCUGUGGAUGUAAUGAACAAAGAAGUUGUGCGCAGCCUUAGGCUCCUGAUAAAUGAUGUUCAUCUUGCUAAAAGUGCAACCAUCAAAGGCAUCUCCUAUCGAAUUGGAAUGCUGAUUCCAUGUGGGUCCACCGGUGGCCUUCCAGAUUUUGCAGAGAUCCUUCAAAUCUGAAUUGUUGAAAGUAGUUUGAGCUUUGUUGUAAGGGUAUUGUGUGCUUGGUAUCACGAGCAUUUCAGAGCUUAUGAGCUCACUACAUCUAGUAGAGAGGUUGCACUAGUUGGUCUCAAAAACCUGACCGAUGUUUAUCCACUUUGUGCCUACACUGUGGGUGUGAAACAAAUGGUUACUUUGAAAAGGCACAUCAUUACCUCCGCCAGGAGGUUAUGUAAUCACCGGAGUUUGUUUGUCUGUCUGUCCGUCUGUGUGUGUGUGUGUAUGUGUGUGUCUGUUUGUCUGUUAACAGCAUAACUCAAAAAGUCAUGGACGGAUUUUCACCAAAUUUUUACAGGAUGUCCGGAAGAGCAAGAGUAAGAAUCGAUUAGAUUUUGGAGGUGAUCCGAAUCACCGUCUGGAUCCAGGAAUUUUUUGAAGGUCGAAGGACAAUUACAUGAGAUAAAGACUGCUUUUGGGCACUUCAGACAAAGAUGCAGACUUUGGAAAUGAAUAUGUCAAUCUCAUGUCAACCAGUAAAAACCAAAGACAAAGAUACUCUGAAAGUGGUAUUUUUUGCAAGUGAAGAAACUACCUCCAGCAUCCCAGUGACUCUACCACCUUGCAGCACCAGCACACCACUGACUUCUCCCUCAACAUCCCACAGCUCUGUGAAUCCCAACAGCUCUUUAACUUUGGAUGAGGAUCCUUUUUCCUCUGAUCACUCAUUUGGCAGUGCAGACACUGUCAUUUUAGAUCCAGCUCCAGACUCAAGAAGCUCAUCGUGGCCUCCGAUCUUCAUUGUUCCCAGCUUCUCAUAUUUUGCUGAAAUUCAACUUCAAAGAGCAAAUGCUGAAUUCAGAGCAAACGGCACCCCUCUUACCCUCCUCCAAAGCUAAGAAUGGAUAUCCUUGAAGGCAUGGCUGAACAGAUCUUCAAAUAUACGCCAUACCCCAGUGAUUCCCAAAUUGAGGAGGCUGCCGAGGUCUUGGUGCAUACCCAUCCAUGUUUGAGGCAAAGAGGAGCACGUGCUGGCCAUGAAGGAUGGAAACUAUAUCUGAAGACAAAAGUAGCCAAUUACCGCACAAAAUUGUGCAAAAUUGGACACCCAGAAGACAGAAGAAGCAAGAAAAGCAGAAGUUAACUUCCUUCCAUUGUUCCCUUGCGGCGAAACAAAAGAGAGUCUUGAAAUUGAAAGAGUAGCUCUCUUGAAUGAGGUGAAAAGAGACACAAUGAAGCUGUGGUCAAGGAGAAAAUGGAGAGGACCUUCUCCUACAGACAGCAAGAGGUUGUCCAAGGCUCACCUUUAAUAGAUGGCCUGCCUUGUUUACCGUGAGUGAGAUAAAUGCAGAAUUCAUGAGGAUUACAACUUUGCCACUUCAAGCGAAAUUCUUGGCCGAACUUGACAAACAAACACCGAACUUGAGGACGGUCUUCAGCAGCAGAGGAGGGGCUGCUGGAAAAAAAGAUCAAGCUCCUCAUGGCACCUACAACUAAGGCAAGUGCAUUAAAAUGUUUAUUAAAUAUGGUUUUCAUCCCCCUUUCAC